GAGUUAAACCCAGAUUCAAAAACUAAAAAACACAGAGAUUAGCCAACUAGCACGGCCCCUGCAUGAGGUUAACAUAUGAAUUUGUGAAGAGUUUCCUGUUUUU
rnacentral:snRNA from 1 species